rnacentral:rRNA from 1 species
CCCUUAGAUGUUCGGGGCCGCACGCGCGCUACACUGAAGGACUCAGCGUGUCUCUCCCCCUAUCCCGAAAGGGAUGGGCAACCCGUUGAACCUCCUUCGUGCUAGGGAUCGGGGUUUGCAAUUAUCCCCCAUGAACGAGGAAUUCCCAGUAAGCGCGAGUCAUCAGCUCGCGUUGAUUACGUCCCUGCCCUUUGUACACACCGCCCGUCGCUACUACCGAUUGGAUGGUUUAGUGAGACCCUCGGAUCGGUCCCGACUCGGGGUGGGCUUCUGCCCCGGUCGUGGUUUCGCCGAGAAGACGGUCAAACUUGACUAUCUAGAGGAAGUAAAAGUCGUAACA